rnacentral:rRNA from 2 species
UUUAUGGAGAGUUUGAUCCUGGCUCAGGAUGAACGCUGGCGGCGUGCCUAAUACAUGCAAGUCGAGCGAACAGACGAGGAGCUUGCUCCUCUGA